AUAUUUUUUGUAAAUAUUACCAGAUAGUUAUAUAAAAUACACAGUUACUAAGAGUGUCCUUCACUGUUUUCUAAAGAACGUUUUGGAGUUAUUUACUAUAGAAAAGUAUGGAGGAAAAACCAAAAAUGUUCCAUAGCCGCCGUUGAAAUUUACAAUAGAGAAUUGAAAUAUCUUUUGGAUCAAUGCUCCAGCCAUGGGCAGAGCAGGCUGCUGCCUCACUCUACUGCUCCAGCCUUUAAGGAAGUGACUCCCUGGAAGUUCCCUUGCUGGCAGUGCCAGGAAACUGAGGUCUGUAGGUCAGAAGUUCAACACCAGUCUCACUGGGCUAAAAUCAAGUUUCUUUCAGUGGCCUUUACCUCUUGGUGUCUCAGUUCACAUCGUGAUUUUCAUUGCUCGUGGCGGAUCCGCACCAAAGCUGAGAGAAUCCAGUCUGCCUGCUGCUUUGUUAGGAAUCUGUGAUGUCACCAAUGGAGACAGGAGAGGAGAUACCACAGCAUUUGAAGCAAGUGGGAAGCAACCUACAAAGAUCAGGACUUCCAGAAGCCCAUGGAAAGGCUGAGAUGCCAGUCAAUGAGGAAUGUUCUAUCCUGGGAGGCAGACCCUUAUGACAUCAGACCAACAUCUGUUAUUCUACUGUCAAUAUUUGAGAAAAUUAAGUGGACAACUGCAUAAUUUUUCCCCUGCUCUGAGUGCUCUGGGACCCACCCGAUCAUCAUUCAGGGGCCUACACAACAGGGACUCAUGACUCCUUCAAAAGAGCAUUUCUCUUCUUUAAAACCUCCAUCCAGUCUUCUUCCUGAACAGAUAAUAACUCAAGGAGAAAGACUUGGGGCAUCACAGCUCUCUCAGUAACAACCGUAGUCAUGCCAGUAAAGCUUCCAUCACAAACACAUAGGAUAUGUUGUGGUAUCCAAGGAAAUUCUGAACUAUUUAUGAGAAGGCCAAGAAAUACAGGUGGCUCACAUUUCCCUUAAACUUGGUUCGAUGCAAAGAAAAGAAUGUCCAGCCUUCUACAAUCUAGAAGCUACUUGAACAAUAUUUGUACCAAUGCCUUUCUCAAAAUCUUCCUAACAAUGUCUAAAACCAGGUUCUGUUCUUUUUAUUAGACAACUUGCUCAAUAAAGCCAGGUGAAUCUAUAGACUUCUGCACAUAACGGUCUGGGAGCUGGGUGCUGCAGAUUAGAAAAGCAAAAGACUGUCUUAAGAAAUGCUUUGGAUCACAUCCUUGGACUUCUUCAAAUAUUUUUGAGAACCAUAUUAAAGCUUGACUUGCCUGUUUGUGCUGUGCUUCUGUAAAUGUGACACUGCUUGGGGACUGGACCUCAUGGGCGUAGCUUUAUAAAUACUGUGUCAGCUCCAAACUCUAACUUCUACAGCACUUUGUCAGUUUCUCUGUUACAACCUCAGCUGCCAUUCACUAAAAAGCUAAUAUACAUACACAACACUCAAGACAUUCUUGGGUGUCCAGGCUUUUCCCCACCUCACUGAACACUCUUCAUAUGUCUCGUUCCCUUUAAUUAAGUGCAAUUCCCUUCAUUCUCUUUGCUCACUCAUAACUCCUACAAACGGCCUCACAUGUCUGAAAUAAUUCCCAUUCUGCUACCCUCCUCCACCUUCCUCACCUUUAAAUGCUCCAUGUAUUUGGAUAGUCUGAAAAAUCUCAAAAUUUCUGAAGUCUCCUAAGCGGAGUUUUAUAUCCAGAUCUAUUAGUUUGGUACUCUCAAACAUACAUAUUUUCAUCCUAUCGCAUACUUUUUCUAACUGUGUAAAAUUGAUCUUAGCAGCAUCUAAAUCUGGCAAUGGCAGACUAUCCAUUAUUGAUGCUAAAUAAAUCUUCAUUCAUGAUAGUGGAAGCUAACAAGGCUGUUAUCUGAGAUAAGGCUGUGCAAUUCACCAGCAAUGGCACCUGAGCAACAUGUCACUAAGCUCC
rnacentral:lncRNA from 1 species